AGUGAACGCUGGCGGCGUGCCUAAUACAUGCAAGUCGAACGGAGUGGCGCACGGGUGAGUAAUGUAUAGCUAAUCUGCCCUACACUAGAGGACAACAGUUGGAAACGGCUGCUAAUACUCUAUAGUGUAGGAUGAGGCUAUAUUGUAUCAGCUAGUUGGUGAGUUAAUGGCUCACCAAGGCUAUGACGCAUAACUGGUCUGAGAGGAGGAUCAGUCAAACGGGAACGGAGACACGGUCCAGACGCCUACGGGAGGCAGCAGGAGGGAAGAUUGCUCAAUGGGGGAAACCCUGAAGCAGCAACGCCGCGUGGAGGAGGACACUUUUCGGAGCGUAAACUCCUUUUGUGAGGGAAGCGGUAACUAACGAAUAAGCACCGGCUAACUCCGUGCCAGCAGCCGCGGUAAUUC
rnacentral:rRNA from 1 species